AACGAACGCUGGCGGCGCGCCUAACACAUGCAAGUCGAACGAGAAGGCGUAGCAAUACGCUUGUAGAGUGGCGAACGGGUGAGUAAUACGUGGGUGACCUACCCUCGAGUGGGGAAUAACCCGCCGAAAGGCGGGCUAAUGCCGCGUACGCUUCCGUCCUCACGGGGACGGAAGGAAAGCUGUACCGUGGGUACGGCGCUCAAGGAUGGGCUCACGUCCUAUCAGCUUGUUGGUAGGGUAGCGGCCACCAAGGCUACGACGGGUAGCUGGUCUGAGAGGACGAUCAGCCACACUGGCACUGCGACACGGGCCAGACUCCUACGGGAGGCAGCAGUGGGGAAUUUUGGACAAUGGGCGCAAGCCUGAUCCAGCCAUGCCGCGUGCGGGAAGAAGGCCUGGUGUAACG
rnacentral:rRNA from 1 species